UAAAGAUGAAAUUGAUAGUUCCAUUGUGUUGGGAUUAUUAGUGUUAGUGGAAAUCGACAUUUAUUUCGAUAAUAAUUGAUGUCUGGAGGUUAUAUUGACCAAUCGGGUAAUUAAUCGGAUAAAUAAGCAAUUAAUUGCUAUUAUUUCACAUGCUUAUAACUAUUUGUUCACAUGUGUGUACUAUUGAUUCACAUUCAUGUACUAUUAGGGGAG
rnacentral:lncRNA from 1 species